AGGAUGGAGGUCCCUGUGUAUGGGGAAGCAGGGAGAAUUCAACCCCAGAUUUUUCAGCAAGGCUGAUUUCAACCUUGAAUUGAGCUCCCAGCAGGAGUUCCUUAUGCUUGGAAAUCCUUACUAAAAGAUUAUAGCUUACGUGACCAAGAGACCAGUCAAAAAAUGUACUUUAUUACUAUUUGGGACUUAUGUUUUACCUGCUCAAAGAAGUGUUAACCUAGGUCCCAUUUUCUCCAAUUCCCUUGUAACCAGUGAAGGAAGAACGGGGUGUUAUUUGGUUUGUUUUCCUAUGGACUGUUCAGUAACCAUGUAAGGGGUUGUGUAACCUAGAGAGGCUGUUUACUACCACUGUCUAAUCCCUUUGUUAUCAUUCUCCUUGAUUGUCACAAGCAGGGGAAAAUAGUUCUGUCCUGCUUCUAAAAACUUAGUGUAACAACCACGUUUUCUUGGUUUUAGUUAGUAAUUUUUCUCUGAUUAAUGGUGAAAGAAAGACUCAGAGGGAAAAGCUACAUUAAAAGAUUUAUGGAUAUAUACACUUAAGACCAUGAUGAAGUAUGAUUCACACCAACUUCAGAAUGAUUGCCUUUGAGGAGAAAGGGAGGGAGAAGGGCCACGAGAUGGGGUUUUAGCUGUAUCUGGAAUGCUUUAUUUAAAAAAUGAAGGGAUGAAGGAAUGAGAGUAUGAUUUGGGUUGUUUGCCUUGUUUUUGGUAAGUUUGAAAUAUUGUAUAAUUUAAAAAAAUGUAGUGUUCUCAAAAUUAUGGUAAUUGAUUAAAACUAUCAAAAUAAAGGAUGCAUAGCAAACAAGUGCCCUUGUUCUGAACAUUUUUAUGCAUUUAUUUCACCAUUUGUCUUCUUCCUAUCUGAAAAAUUGCAGAUGCAAACACAGAAGGUUGGGGGGACAUGGAUAACUUCUAGGGUUGUGUGAGGGGUUGUCCUGAGUAUCUUUCUCCCCCUUUCUCUUUCAUGGGGGAGGGUGCUUCCUAAUCACCAGGGAGAUUAACAGUCAAACAACUCUCCAAAAAGCAACCUAGGGCUGGAAGGAGGAUCUGCUUCAUUUCUUCUAAGCUGGGAAUUUGCAGCUGGGCCAAAAAUUUGGGACAGUGUCUUUCUAUGGAGCCAAAGGACCUUCUACAUCUUUUCCCAAACUGAUUUCUUCCUGGUACUCCUGGCAGGAAGAAAUCCAAGUAACUAUUCAGGUGGCUUUUUCCUUUUUUCUGAGAGUCCAGGAUCGCCUUCUGGGAUAAAGUUUCUUCUUGCCCAUGGUGCUUUGCUGUGACAUUGUAAUUGCCUCUGUUGAAUUGAAUAAUACAAAUGGGUUGUUUCUAUGGUAUCGGCUAAGUGGGAUGAAAAGGUGAAACCCUAGAUCUUGCGCUGGGAGGUCACGGUGCUACCACCCCCCAACACUAACUGUCCGUCAAAGCUGACCGGCAGCCAGGCCCCCUGUUCUCCGAGCUCUGGCGCUCAUUUGUAACUUCCUGAGCAAAUUCACGCUUGACAAAGAAAAUGACUUUAGUUUAUGUUGUCACUAAGCCCAGAAAAUCCCUGCCAACCCCCAGCUGCCAGCUUUCCUAGGACCUUCUUAUUGGUGGAGAAUUUUAAACUGAAGGUGAGUGAGGAGCCGCGUCUCCCAGUCCCUCCCAGCCAGGCUUUGAACUAACAAUAGGGCAGGUUGAAUGAAGGCUGAUAAAUGCAAAUCCCGGAAUGCCGACACCGGAUCACAGCGCGACCGCCUGGGUGCGCGCUCCAGCCGUCGCAGCGACCUAGUCACUCGCCACGUCGGGAUGCUCGGUAGAUUGCAUCGUUUUAGCACCACUGGAGUCCCUACUGCUUCCCUCCGCAGGCCCGAGCUCUCGUUCAUCGCCUGUGGGCCGCCCGAGUCCCCCUGCCACUAAAUUGAUCUGAUUGAGUAACUGGCAUGUUAACUCAGGAGAAGCACCUGGGAGAGGGGGCGGGGAAAUAAAAGUGGGCUUUUACCCUCUCUUGCUCAGUUUUAGCUCCACUUUACUCAAAGCAGGUUUUCCUGGUUGUAACAGAAUAAGAGAUGCUAUUUUCUUAGAAUGGUAAAAGCAAACAAACAACAAAAAAACAAGAGGAGAGAUAAGAUGAGCAGGUGGGAAUUUCCCUUAAAAUGUACUUCUGGCACUUUUUACUUCGGUGCAAACUGCCCAUAGUCCCUGCUCCCUUCCUUCCCAGUUUCAUUUCGCCAGACUCCUUUACUGUCCCACCGCGGACGUUCUUGAGUAUCUCAGCCCCGAACUGAGUAUCGAGGGGUUUCCCUAGGUUUGGGACCCUUUGAAACUUGAGGGAGAAAACAAAACAACAACAACAAAAAGAGUUCAUCUCCAGUACUCCUGACCUUGGCUGCCGGGGAACCCCUCAAGGAGGUGUAAGCCCUGGGGUCCGGGCCCAGCGCUCGGACCCUCGCGCCCAGUCGCUGGGUCCCCUGGCGGUGGCGCCAGCUCCAGUCCGCUCUCCGCGGCUCCAGUUCCUGAUUUCCGCCGGAGCUGAGGCCUGGCAGGGAGGGGGCUCCGGAGUGAGUGUGAGGAUUUGAAUGAGAAAGCAGGUUGUGGCGGCGGCGACCCAUUCUGUCCUGCCGGUCUCUGGGGAUCUACAGGCUGGUGUGCAGACGAGUCCUUCUGGGGGGCUUUUCUGCUCCUCCACAGGGUUUUGGAGUUGGAGUCACAGGGACCAAUAACUCAUCAAGCCAGCACUUCGGAGGACUCAGAGGAAUCCAUCUCUCGAGCACUCAAAGUUGAGCAGUUCCGGCCGGGACACGCUCUUUAGGACAGUGUGAGGUGUGCGAGUGGGGAUCCCUCAAACCCCCUGGCGGAGAACUGGACCACAACUGGUCUUGAGGUCCCGUAAUUUCGAAGGAUGGGUGUGUGAGCCUGCGCCAGGAUUUAACUCUCAGGUCUCUUGUGGUGGUUCUUGUGUCCUAGCAUUACUGAAGGAAAGAAGAAGUGGUGAGCGUUCAGACUUCGGUGGGUUCAGCUGCUGUUUGUUUGGACACUCAAGAGAUCCCUGCUCUUCCCUGAACAUGGAUGAGAUGCUUAGGAAUAAUGGAGAAUUCUGAGGGUGGCAGGGAACCAAGCCCUGGCUACAAGAAUAUUGUGCUUCCCUCUGGUUCCCAUAAUUUUAGUGUGAACAUAUUAGAUAUUCAAGGGGAGGAAACUGUGCAGGAAAAUAUAAUAGGAGAAGACCCACAGGCCAGGGACAACCAGGAGUUAGCUGCUGUGUCUAAAAUCUUGUUUGUACUAAUUUAAGGAAAAUACACCACACUACAAGUUUCAUUUGAGGAAUUUGUAAUACCGUUUGGUUUUAUUUCCCUAUUUUGUCUUGUUAAUGCUUUUUAUGACACCUUUUUUCAGAUGGCAACUUUGGACAAGCUGUUUAUUAGUUAGAUUUAAAGAAUCAAAUACUUAUACGCUUGACCAGGAAGUAUGUUAGAUGCAUUUAACUUGGGCUAACUACAUCAGCUUCAGAUUUUUUUCCUCAGAGCUUCUUAAUAAUUAAGAAUUCAGCACAUGAAAAACAAAGCUUCCAAAAUUUAAGACAUUUGGCUAGAUUUUUUGAUGUUCUUUUGAGCUUAAAAAUUUUUAUAAUCAAAUUAGGUUUACUAUCCCAUCUUGUUCUUUACUGCUUUGAGGACCUCUAGCCUUUCCUUUUACAAUUUCUGAUGUCCUAAUAUUUGCAUUGAUGUAAGUUCUCUGUUGAACAUCUAGAAGGUUAACUUCUCUGCUGGCUUUAGAGAAAUUAAACUCUAAGUCUUUACCCCCGUUAUCUUAGGCUAAAAUCUUUGCAAAAUUAGUCUUUAUGGUCACUGCUGUCCUAUUGCUUAGUCACUAAGUCUUGUCCGACUCUUUCACAACCCCAUGGACUGUAGCCUACUGGGUGCCUCUGUCCAUGGGAUUUUCU
ensembl:lncRNA